CCCAGUACGAGAGGACCGGGAGGGGGAAAUCCCUAGUGUGCCGGUUGUCACGUCAGUGGCAACGCCGGGUAGCUACAUUUCUAACGGAUAACUGCUGAAAGCAUCUAAGUAGGAAGCCAACUCCAAGAUUAGGACUCGUCAUCAGAUCCCUGGCAGACUACCAGGUUAAUCGGCAGGCGGUGGAAGGCAAGUCAAUUG
rnacentral:rRNA from 1 species